CCUGCUCUCAUCCAUCUGGACCUCGUCCUGCACCUCGUCCGCUACAGAAUCGUGUUGAGUGCAUGAAAUGUUCAACCUUGCACUCUUUGUUCGUCCAUCUGACUUUGUUCCAUGUUGAGCAGACUGGUCCACGGACAGAGCAGAAGUUUCCCAUCAGUCUGACAGCAUGGCAGUGUCUGGAUGAUGUUCCCUGUGACCCUUCUGGCCCCGCUGCCUGCUGUCACUUCCCAAAAUCCCACAGGGCGUGCCAUGUUAUUGCAGCCCUCUCCUUAUGGUGUCGCUCAGCAAGGACUAAGAGGCAGUGCCAUGCAAAUACACUCAAGAUGCCAGUGGCAUCUGGCCCCUGCUAACACUACAGCAUCCUGACAAGAAUUUGGACUACUUUCCACUGCAGCGUUUCAGCUUCUGGACAAGGUCUUCUGUCUGUUGAUGAUUGCUGUAAAAAAAAAAAAAGAAAAAGAAAUAAUCUCCAUCCCUCCGCUGCUAUUACUACAUUAUUUCUUUGCACAGACAGACAGAUACAACACAUACAGCAAAUACUUUUUUAGGAAGUUAAAAUGAAAUCGAAUCGGAUGUUUGAAAUAUUAAAUCUCUCAGCUGAAUAAACGAUAUUGUCAUUAUUCUGAUGACAAAUGUUUUUAUUCAGUCGCAUUGGAGAAGUGAAACGUUUGCAUAUGUUGUAUUAAUACGACUAACUGCGAUAGUUAUGCUGAAAUCGACCCGUCAGUCCGUGUAUGUCACGUGACCUCAUCUCAUGUCCUAAAUCUGAGUUUUUCAAAUACAAAUUAAAAUUGUAUUCACCCCAUACACAAUCGAUCACGUUAGGACGUACACGGAUAUAUUGAAUAAAAAUGAAUAAAAAUCGAAUUAGCUGUAUAGAAUGUGGGGAAAUUAAUUAAAUAGACACAGCACAAUAUAAAAAAAAUCCAGCAUAUGAAUACACCACAAAAACGGAUUAUAUUAAUAUGAAUUUUUGAAUAUAUGCAUAAAGUGGUUUGUAGAAAAAAAGUCUAUAAUCUAAAGCCUUGGUCGUGUUCCUACUUUGCAUGUGUUACAUCCUGUACCUGAAUCAAUUGGUAAUCAGCAGAUAUCGUUAUUACCUGUAAUUUAUUAAUACAGACUUUCAUGUACAUUCUCUCUCACUCAUCUUCUACCGCUUACCCGAACUUCUCGGGUCACGGGGAGCCUGUGCCUAUCUCAGUUGUCAUCGGGCAUCGAGGCAGGAUACACCCUGGAUGGAGUGUCAACCAAUCACAGGGCUCAUGUACUUUCUGUAGUCCCCAUUUUGCAAAAGCUGGUCUAUAGCUUGAUAGAGAAGCAGUUGUUAAUUCCACUUUUCCCUGUUAGAGCACAGAUAGAGUAUCAUUUCUAUUAGAUAAGAAAUAGUGUGGGUUAAAAAUCUUUAAGGUGGAUUUUUAUUAACUGACUACUUUAUGUUUGCAAGAACCCUCUUUGGUUACAACCCUCAUAAGGUUGGUGCUAUUUUGUGUAUUUGUCCUGAAGUGUUUUGUAUUGUCUGUUUGCACUGUUUUGUCUUAUGUACUAGAUUGAACACGAUGUAUGUCAUGUGUCUAGGACACCUUACUUUCAGUCCUUAGCUCUGUGUUGUUCUAUGUAGCUCCAUUGUCCUGGAGAGACGUUGUCUCAUUUUACAUAAGCAGAU